UUGAAAACAUCAGGGGACUGAAGUGAGAGCAACUUAUGAAAACAUCCAUGAAAAGGACUCAAAUAUCUAGAAUAAAAAUAAAUGUCUUGCUGGCCAAGUUUGCAUCAUCAGAACCAGAUGGUUGUUCUUCAAGAGAUUCAUCUAUGGAAUCUGAAAGCACACUGUGAAGAAUACAACAGAUGUGUGGAGACACAAUUAUAGACACUCCAAUUAGAGGUCAAACUUGAGUUGAGGAGGCAAAGCGACACAAAUAAAACAAUUCCUAAAUUGGGUCCUAUGAAUGGCAAGUCUAAAAGUUCACCAAGGUGGAGGGCAGCCCUUCUUUGAACUUGAAACAAACCCAUAAAUAAAGAACUCCAUCCCCACCAGCACUCCCAAACAACUUGGUGGACAGAGAGCUCUGUAUUUCAUAGGAG